UUGUUUUGUUUUGUAUAUGUUACGUUCUUUACACAAUGUUUUGUAAAUAGGCCCGGAGGCCAACAGUUCACAGAGGUAUGAAGGAUAGAUAAGACCUUUCGGUCAAUCAUUAAUGAUCCUUCCGCAGGUUCACCUACGGAAA
rnacentral:misc_RNA from 1 species